CAAGGGGGUCAUCCCGACUUACCAACCCGAUGCAAACUGCGAAUACCGGAGAAUGUUAUCACGGGAGACACACGGCGGGUGCUAACGUCCGUCGUGAAGAGGGAAACAACCCAGACCGCCAGCUAAGGUCCCAAAGUCAUGGUUAAGUGGGAAACGAUGUGGGAAGGCCCAGACAGCCAGGAUGUUGGCUUAGAAGCAGCCAUCAUUUAAAGAAAGCGUAAUAGCUCACUGGUCGAGUCGGCCUGCGCGGAAGAUGUAACGGGGCUAAACCAUGCACCGAAGCUGCGGCAGCGACGCUGAUGCGUUGUUGGGUAGGGGAGCGUUCUGUAAGCCUGCGAAGGUGUGCUGUGAGGCAUGCUGGAGGUAUCAGAAGUGCGAAUGCUGACAUAAGUAACGAUAAAGCGGGUGAAAAGCCCGCUCGCCGGAAGACCAAGGGUUCCUGUCCAACGUUAAUCGGGGCAGGGUGAGUCGACCCCUAAGGCGAGGCCGAAAGGCGUAGUCGAUGGGAAACAGGUUAAUAUUCCUGUACUUGGUGUUACUGCGAAGGGGGGACGGAGAAGGCUAUGUUGGCCGGGCGACGGUUGUCCCGGUUUAAGCGUGUAGGCUGGUUUUCCAGG
rnacentral:rRNA from 1 species